GAUGAACGCUAGCGGCGUGCCUAAUGCAUGCAAGUCGAACGGGAUCCUUUGGAUUUCAUCUAAAGGUGAGAGUGGCGAACGGGUGAGUAACACGUUGGUGACCUGCCCCAGAGAGGGGGAUAACCAUUGGAAACGAUGGCUAAUACCCCGGAUGUCCCUACUGUUAGAGGGUAGUGACUAAAGCUCCGGCGCUCUGGGAGGGGCCUGCGGCCCAUCAGCUAGUUGGUAGGGUAACGGCCUACCAAGGCAAAGACGGGUAGGGGGCGUGAGAGCGUGACCCCCCACACUGGUACUGACACACGGACCAGAUACCUACGGGUAGCAGCAGCAAGGAAUAUUGCCCAAUGGACGCAAGUCUGAGGCAGCAACGCCGCGUGGAGGAUGAAGGCCUUCGGGUUGUAAACUCCUUUCCUGGGGGAAGAGAAAGGACGGUACCCCAGGAAUAAGUCUCGGCUAACUACGUG
rnacentral:rRNA from 1 species